UACAGAGGGUGCGAGCGUUGUCCGGAUUUAUUGGGCGUAAAGAGCGUGUAGGCGGCCAGACAGGUCCGUUGUGAAAACUCGAGGCUCAACCUCGAGAUGUCGAUGGAAACCGUCUGGCUAGAGUCCGGAAGAGGAGUGUGGAAUUCCUGGUGUAGCGGUGAAAUGCGCAGAUAUCAGGAGGAACACCAAUGGCGAAGGCAGCACUCUGGGACGUGACUGACGCUGAGACGCGAAAGCGUGGGGAGCAAACAGG
rnacentral:rRNA from 1 species